UACCGAAAUUAAACUUCAAAUUUUUAAAUAAUCAAAUUUAUAAAUCUCCAAAUUUAACCAACAUAGAUUUUGACAAAUUUUACGAAAUAAAUAAAAUUGCUAGAAAUAUAAAACCAAUUAACGAAAUUUAUAAUCCGCAAAGCCAUGUAUCGAUUGGACUAUUUACUAUAAUAAUAACAAUUUGUGUAAUUUUAAUGACAUUAUGGUAAAUUCGAAAAUAUAAAAGUAAAUUUGUAAGAAAACAGAAAUUUGAAGAAAAGAAAAAAGAAAACAUCGAAUUAGAAGAAGGAAGACAACAAGAUAUGAAAAAUACCUCCGUCAUUUUUCAUUCCUAGGGAUGGAGGAAUUACAUGAAGAAAAUUCUAGAAGGACGUUUAUAUAAAACGCAAUUGUGUUAAAUAUCAUAAACACUUUAUUAACAAUUAUUUUAUUAUAAAUACAAAUGAUUGAACUUGGCAAUGAAUAUAUGUAUUGUUCUUGAAUAUAUGGUUCAUUCAAUGAAUAUUAGUUAGUUCGCUUGUGAGAUUAAUUGUAUUCAUUCAACUUAUUGAAAUUUUGUGUAAAAUAAAUUUUUAAAAAUAAUUUUCGAAAACCGAAAAUUAUAAUUCUCACUCUACUACUUGUAUAACUAGAUGAGUCACAGUCAGUGCCACCAGAUGCGGGCCAGAUGUUUGUAGAAAUGCUCGAUAAACACACCCCUCUCCACCCCGCGCCAAGACACGGCCGCGCGCCUAGAUUAUUUGUCCCAUCUGUAGGUUGGUAGUGCAGUUGUUGUACAAGUCGACAAGACACAACCUGCAACCUAAACUGCUCUACUCCUUCCCUGAUUUUCAGAUAUCAGUAUUGUUUCGACAGUGAAUCACUGUGGAACUGUGUAUUAGCUCAGUGUCUGUUAGUGUGAGUGGAGAAUAUAGCACUUUCUGCAUACUCAUUAGUGACUGUUUGUUUCUAUUCUGAAAAUUACGUUUGUGAUAGCGACGUGGCCACCUUAUAAAUGGCUUCCCGGGACCGAGACAUUGGUAGAAAAUACGAAUCAGGGAGUAACAAAAGGAAAAAAGCUGCACAACGAGCCGAACUUGAAGGACAGCUUCAAACCUUUUUAACAAAGUUUUUAAAAACUGAAGUGGGCAAGAAGAAGAUACUGACACCCAAAAGAAAUGCGUAUUGGAUAAUUCAAGUCAGGAAAGUCUCCAGGCACCACAUCAUUCUCAAUUUGAGUGUUCAUCUGAUUCGGCUUCGCAGCCCGUGUCGUCUGCCCCCGUUCAUCUGCUUCAGGCUUCUUCAUUUUCUCAACAGGAACCGCCGUCAGAAGCACCAUCUUCAUCUCUUUCAGAAAAUUUGCCUUUGGAACCGGAACAAAACAGAACUGAGCAGUCUAACUCUGAAGAAAAUUAUUAAAUCGAAGACCACGAUGUAAGUGACUCUUAUUUAUGGCCAAGCAGCCUAACCCAAUCAGAGCGGACUAGAAUUAUUGAGAAGGGUUCUGUAUCCGUUACAGGCGAAAAUUUUCAUAAAAAUGAAAGUGGACGACACUUUAGUGAAGUUCAUUACACUAGGAGUUUGCCAAACGGCGAGCAACAGAGAAGACGAUGGCUUGUCUACUCAAAAUCUAAUGACUCUGUACACUGUUUUGCAUGCAGAUGAUUGGCAACACUUGAGCGUGAUUUUGAAAAGUCCCGAAAUGAACAAAGUCCGUAGACAAUGCAUGAUUAAAUGAUUUGAUCUGGAGAAAGGAUUGAAACUGUCAAACCAUUGACUGUGAAACAGAAGCUCAAAUAAGGUCAGAAGCUCAACGUAUGGAAAGACUACUCGCAGUUGUACAAUUUCUGGCCUCCCACAAUUUAGCGUUUAGGGAUCACAAAGAAACAAUUUCCCCAGAUGAUAUAGAGAGAAGUGGUAAUUUCAUAGAUUUAAUUAAGCUUAUUGCUAAGUUCGACCCUAUUUUAGAAGGACAUUUGAAUAGCAUCUCCAAGAAAGAACAUAUCAGGAACCAUUACUUUGGUAAAGAUACUCAAAAUGAGUUUAUCCAACUUAUGGCAAACCACGUAGUAUCAAAAAUAACAGAAAAGUUAUUGAAAAACAAAUACUAUACCAUCAUUCUCGAUUGUACACGUGAUAUAGCAAGGGUUGAGCAACUGUCCGUAGUUUUGGGAACUACUGACCUAGAAACUGCUAAAAUUGAAGAACACUUUGUUGGGUUUGUUGCAGUUGACACAACCACCGCCGAGGGUUUCACCGAAUACUUACUAAAGGAACUUGAAAAGCUAGGUCUGAAUUUAGCCAAUUGCAGGGGACAGAGCUGUGAUAAUGGUUCAAAUAUGCGAGGGGUUCAGAAUGGUGUGCAACGAAAGAUUUUGAAUCUCAUUGAACUCAUUGGCAUUUUUUGUACCCUGUGGAAGCCAUAGUUGAACUUGGUUUUAGGUGACGCUGCAUCAUCCAGUGUACAGGCACAAGUUACAUACGCCGCUUAUCGAGGAAACUUAAAAGCGCAGCAGAAACAUUAUACUUUCUGAGAAAUUGUUACUUAACAACAUAUGUAGAUAAAUCUUACUUUCUUGUAAUUUCAUUUAAUAUAAUUCAUUCUCUGUUUAGAUCUCUAACAAUAAACUUGUAAUUGCUUGAAUAAAUACAUUUUUUAAAAA